rnacentral:SRP_RNA from 1 species
UUGUAACCCCCCGCAAUGAUAACUUGUGAACUCGGCCAGGCCCGGAAGGGAGCAACCGCAGCAAGCGACUCGUGUGCCGGGGUGUCGGCUCUA